rnacentral:rRNA from 1 species
CCCUUAGAUGUUCUGGGCCGCACGCGCGCUACACUGACGAAUGCAACGAGCUUAUAACCUUGGCCGAAAGGUCAGGGUAAUCUCCAAAUUUCGUCGUGAUGGGGAUAGAUUAUUGCAAUUAUUAAUCUUCAACGAGGAAUGCCUAGUAAGCGCAAGUCAUCAGCUUGCGUUGAUUACGUCCCUGCCCUUUGUACACACCGCCCGUCGCUCCUACCGAUUGAAUGGUCCGGUGAAGCGUUCGGACCGUGGCCUUUGGACGGUUCGCCGUCUGUUGGCUGCGGGAAGUUCGUUAAACCUUAUCAUUUAGAGGAAGGAGAAGUCGUAACA